UACGUAGGGUGCGAGCGUUAAUCGGAAUUACUGGGCGUAAAGCGUGCGCAGGCGGUUUGUUAAGACAGAUGUGAAAUCCCCGGGCUUAACCUGGGAACUGCAUUUGUGACUGGCAAGCUAGAGUAUGGCAGAGGGGGUAGAAUUCCACGGUGUAGCAGUGAAAUGCGUAGAGAUGUGGAGGAAUACCGAUGGCGAAGGCAGCCCCCUGGGCCAAUACUGACGCUCAUGCACGAAAGCGUGGGGAGCAAACAGG
rnacentral:rRNA from 1 species